CCCGCUGAACUUAAGCAUAUCAAUAAGCGGAGGAAAAGAAACUAACAAGGAUUCCCCUAGUAACUGCGAGUGAAGCGGGAAGAGCUCAAAUUUGAAAUCUGGCAGCUCUCUGAACUGUCCGAGUUGUAAUCUAGAGAAGUGUUACCUGUGCUGGACCGUGUACAAGUCUCCUGGAAUGGAGCGUCACAGAGGGUGAGAAUCCCGUCUUUGACACGGACUGCCUGCAUGUUUAUGGUGCGCUCUCAAAGAGUCGAGUUGUUUGGGAAUGCAGCUCAAAAUGGGUGGUAAAUGCCAUCUAAAGCUAAAUAUUGGCGAGAGACCGAUAGCGAACAAGUACCGUGAGGGAAAGAUGAAAAGAACUUUGGAAAGAGAGUUAAACAGUACGUGAAAUUGCUGAAAGGGAAACGCUUGAAGUCAGUCGCGUCAUCCAGGGAUCAACCUUGCUUUUGCUUGGUGUACUUUCUGGUUGACGGGUCAGCAUCAAUUUUGACCAUUGGAAAAAGAUUAAGGGAAUGUGGCAUACAUAGUGAUGUGUUAUAGCCCUUGGUUGCAUACAAUGGUUGGGAUUGAGGAACUCAGCACGCCGCAAGGCCGGGUUUUUAUUAAUCACGUACGUGCUUAGGAUGUUGGCAUAAUGGCUUUAAUCGACCCGUCUUGAAACACGG
rnacentral:rRNA from 1 species